GCGGAAGUGGUGGAAUUGGCAGACGCGCUGGGUUCAGGGUCCAGUGGGAGCGAUCCCGUGGGGGUUCAAGUCCCCCCUUCCGCACCA
rnacentral:tRNA from 1 species